rnacentral:lncRNA from 1 species
ACUAAAUAUUUCUGGAGUACUAGUGCAGCACUCUGCUCAUUAGCAAGGCAGUCUACUUUCCCAUCAGGCAUCUCACAAUUACCCCAUGACUGCUGUUUGGUUUUAACUCCUCCCUUGGAUAGGUCACGAGGACAAGUGACUUGGGUUGUGCCAAGACCUGAAAUGGGAGACUGGUGUAAAUGGCAGAUAGCCAGAAGCAAGGAGACAUCUGGGAUAAGACAAGGCGCUAAGUUGAUAGGAGGAGGUGUUCCACAGCAGAUCAGAUAUUCAGUCAAGCUGAUGGAGAAGCCAUGCCAGAGAAAGCAAAAAAUAAGGUAGGGAAGGAGCAGCAGAGAGAAACUGCUAUAUACAGCCUAGCUUUGAAAUGGGUAAAAUAGUGUCAAGGACUGUAGCUGAGUGUAGGAGAUAAAGAAAAGUAUUAAUGUUUCAC